AUUGAACGCUGGCGGCAGGCCUAACACAUGCCAGUCGAGCGGAUGAAGGGAGCUUGCUCCUGGAUUCAGCGGCGGACGGGUGAGUAAUGCCUAGGAAUCUGCCUGGUAGUGGGGGAUAACGUCCGGAAACGGGCGCUAAUACCGCAUACGUCCUGAGGGAGAAAGUGGGGGAUCUUCGGACCUCACGCUAUCAGAUGAGCCUAGGUCGGAUUAGCUAGUUGGUGGGGUAAAGGCCUACCAAGGCGACGAUCCGUAACUGGUCUGAGAGGACGAUCAGUCAAACCGGAAACGGGGCAAGGUCCAGACUCCUACGGGAGGCAGCAGUGGGGAAUAUUGGACAAUGGGCGAAAGCCUGAUCCAGCCAUGCCGCGUGUGUGAAGAAGGUCUUCGGAUUGUAAAGCACUUUAAGUUGGGAGGAAGGGCAGUAAGUUAAUACCUUGCUGUUUUGACGUUACCAACAGAAUAAGCACCGGCUAACUUCGUG
rnacentral:rRNA from 1 species